rnacentral:snRNA from 1 species
GGCAACUUUAGGGUUCAUC